rnacentral:rRNA from 1 species
CAUAUCAAUAAGCGGAGGAAAAGAAACCAACAGGGAUUGCCUCAGUAACGGCGAGUGAAGCGGCAAGAGCUCAAAUUUGAAAUCUGGCGCCCCGCCGGCGUCCGAGUUGUAAUUUGGAGAGGCAUCUUCAGGAGGGGGCCCGGCCUAUGUUCCUUGGAACAGGGCGUCGCAGAGGGUGAGAAUCCCGUUCUUGGCCGGACAGCCCCUCCGGUGUGCAGUGUCUUCUACGAGUCGAGUUGUUUGGGAAUGCAGCUCAAAAUGGGUGGUAAAUUUCAUCUAAAGCUAAAUAUGGGCGAGAGACCGAUAGCGCACAAGUAGAGUGAUCGAAAGAUGAAAAGCACUUUGAAAAUAGAGUCAAACAGCACGUGAAAUUGUUGAAAGGGAAGCGCUUGAGACCAGACUCGGCCAUGGACUAACAGCUGUCCCUUCUGGGCGGUGCACUUGUCCUUGGCCGGGCCAGCAUCGGUUGGGACGGCGGGACAAAGGCUGGGGGAAUGUGACUCCCUUGAGGAGUGUUAUAGCCCCCGGCGCCAUGCCGCCCGCCCCGACCGAGGACCGCGCUCGGCUAGGAUGGC